ACUCCUACGGGAGGCAGCAGUGGGGAAUCUUGGACAAUGGGCGCAAGCCUGAUCCAGCCAUGCCGCGUGAGUGAUGAAGGCCCUAGGGUCGUAAAGCUCUUUCGCCAGAGAUGAUAAUGACAGUAUCUGGUAAAGAAACCCCGGGCUAACUCCGUGCCAGCAGCCGCGGUAAUACGGAGGGGGUUAGCGUUGUUCGGAAUUACUGGGCGUAAAGCGCGCGUAGGCGGACUAGUCAGUUAGAGGUGAAAUCCCAGGGGCUCAACCCUGGAACUGCCUUUAAUACUGCUAGUCUUGAGUUCGAGAGAGGUGAGUGGAAUUCCGAGUGUAGAGGUGAAAUUCGUAGAUAUUCGGAGGAACACCAGUGGCGAAGGCGGCUCACUGGCUCGAUACUGACGCUGAGGUGCGAAAGUGUGGGGAGCAAACAGGAUUAGAUACCCUGGUAGCG
rnacentral:rRNA from 1 species